UAUUUCAAACACCUACACUACAAU
rnacentral:piRNA from 1 species